rnacentral:rRNA from 1 species
UACAGAGGUGGCAAGCGUUGUUCGGAAUUACUGGGCGUAAAGGGCGCGUAGGCGGCCAUCUAAGUCAGACGUGAAAUCCCCCGGCUUAACCUGGGAACUGCGUCUGAUACUGGACGGCUUGAGUGCGGGAGAGGGAUGUGGAAUUCCAGGUGUAGCGGUGAAAUGCGUAGAUAUCUGGAGGAACACCGGUGGCGAAGGCGGCAUCCUGGACCAACACUGACGCUGAGGAGCGAAAGCCAGGGGAGCAAACGGG